AGCUAGAUCUGUAUUCUGAUUCAUCUUGAGUAUACUCAUCCUUCCUCGCCUUCAAGCCAAACGUAAACGAGACACUUCAACUGCUCCAAUCCAUGUUCGACGUGCUUCCACACGAUAUCACAGUCGAAGGAAACGGUCGAGAUUACGUCUUUCAUCCGUAAGAACUGUUCCUGUUCACCGUUAUUAAAUAAUUAUUUGACGAAUACGACGUUUACAGUUAGGAAAAACAGAGGAUCUCUUCACAAUAUUAUGAUCGAUGCAUACGAGGGUUUACCUUUUCUUCCUAAUUAUACUUGGGCGGCUAGAGCUGGAUCAAUCGUUUCGUUAAAGCUGUUUUGUGGAUGUUUGAGUGAGCUGUGGAACUACCUGAUGAGUUACGUGAUGGGAGAGAGUGAUAGUAUUGAAUCUUUAGCGAGUAGAUUUGGGGUUAGUAUAGCUAGUAUUGAAUCUUUUAAUGGAAUUGUUAAUUCUGAUCAUGUUACUGUUGGAUCUCUUUACUAUAUUCCUUUAAAUUCAGUGAGACAUCAUAUACUGCAGAGAGCAUUGUUCCUCCAACUCCUGCUUCUGCUCUAGCACCGCCUGCUGAUGAUGUUGCCUGGUAACAUGAUUUGGAGCAGUUGAAUUGGUCAAAUGAAGGAAGAGGACAUGAUAAUCUGUUCAAAAUGCUACAAGAAUGGGAACUAUGGGGUGAACAGGUCUGCAGAUGAUUUCAACCUUAUUCAAAGCAUUACUAACAAGACUAAAUUCAAACGAGUCUCAUUUUUAAGAGAAAACUGAAACAAAAGUCCAAGACAAUGAGCUUGAGCAUUAAGGGUGAACAGAAUGGAGAUACUGAGAUGGAGACACCAACUCUGAAGAGAAGACGAAGUGCUUCACCUUCAGACAAUAGGGGUACAUUGAUGGAAUAGGUUACUACUCUUUUCUCUUCAUAAAUCUUCAACAGAAUUCGUAUAUCAGACAUCAUGGACAUUUUUACUUAUUUAAAUUUAAAUUAAAACAUUCACAUGCACUAUAUUUAAAAUCAGUAUCAGAUGAUUUAAUUAGAACAAGACGAUUUCAAAUCAAUCAUCCAGUUUCUGAAGUUUUAUUGAUUUGAUUCAACGAAUAAAUUACUCACCUUUAUAUUGUAAUACCCAAUUAAGGUUAAAAAAUCAUAAAAAUUCAAGCUUUCAAAUGACAUGUUACUCGAUUGUGUCAUUUCAAGCUGUUUUUCAGUGAAAGGAUUAUUUGAAGGUUUCAAAUUUGUAUUACCCUAAUAUUGCUUCCAUGUUCUCUUGUUGGAUAGUUUGUUAUUAGUUCCUCUUAUGUUGAAUAUAUACUUUCAGCAAAUUAGGUAGCUCUCAUAUCCUCUUUAGUUGUUCCACAUAUCACUGCCUCUGCGGCCAUCACAACACUCUAUCAUAAAAUCCAAU